rnacentral:rRNA from 1 species
UACGUAGGGGCCGAGCGUUGUCCGGAGUUGUUGGGCGUAAAGCGCGCGCAGGCGGCCUCGCGCGCCCGACGUGAAAGCCCCCGGCUUAACCGGGGAGGGUCGUUGGGGACGGCGGGGCUUGAGGGCGGGAGAGGUCGGUGGAAUUCCCGGUGUAGUGGUGAAAUGCGUAGAGAUCGGGAGGAACACCUGUGGCGAAGGCGACGUGCUGGGUUGCACCUGACGCUGAGAUGCGAAAGUGUGGGGAGCAAACGGG